rnacentral:tRNA from 1 species
UUUAAAGUAACAUAUUAAAUGUGAUAGAUUUAAGCUCUAUUUAUAGCCCAGCUCUUUAAAA